UUCCACUCCUCUUCCCUCUCCAAAACCGUGAAGCCAUCCCCCAUUUUCAUACCUUCACCAAUUUUUCAUUUCAUCACCAAAUCAUCUCAUUCCAAGCUAGGGAAAUCCAUAGAACUUGCAAGAAGAAUCUCACUAAGGGCGCGCGAAAGUGUAGAAUUGUUCGAAGUUGUUUGAAAUUGGAGCUUGCCGAGGCGAUGAUUUUCCUUCUGAGACUGUGGGUCGUGUGGACGGCGAGGACUUUGUGGAUUAUGCGGGAGAAUAGAUUGUAGUCCUUGGUUAGGCUACACUUUUGUUAGGCUUAGGGCCUAGUUCUUUUGGAUGACUGUAUUUAUACUCAGGCAUGUUUAGUGCCUUUUGGCCUUGUGAUAUAUUCGGUUCAUAACACUUGUCUUUUAUUUAUGAACGCGAUGUAUCUUGGUUUGUAAAUUAUUCAGGUACACACUUUGCUUCGCGGAAGCCCUGUAGUAUAAUAUUUUGAUAUUAUAUUUAUAUUCCAUUGAAUGAUGAAUUGUCGAGAUAGCUAAGGGCGUUCACGCGCG